rnacentral:rRNA from 1 species
GGAGGCAGCAGUGGGGAAUAUUGCACAAUGGGCGAAAAGCCUGAUGCAGCGACGCCGCGUGAGGGAUGACGGCCUUCGGGUUGUAAACCUCUUUCAGCAGGGAAGAAGCGAAAGUGACGGUACCUGCAGAAGAAGCGCCGGCUAACUACGUGCCAGCAGCCGCGGUAAUACGUAGGGCGCAAGCGUUGUCCGGAAUUAUUGGGCGUAAAGAGCUCGUAGGCGGCUUGUCACGUCGGUUGUGAAAGCCCGGGGCUUAACCCCGGGUCUGCAGUCGAUACGGGCAGGCUAGAGUUCGGUAGGGGAGAUCGGAAUUCCUGGUGUAGCGGUGAAAUGCGCAGAUAUCAGGAGGAACACCGGUGGCGAAGGCGGAUCUCUGGGCCGAUACUGACGCUGAGGAGCGAAAGCGUGGGGAGCGAACAGGAUUAGAUACCCUGGUAGUCCACGCCGUAAACGGUGGGCACUAGGUGUGGGCAACAUUCCACGUUGUCCGUGCCGCAGCUAACGCAUUAAGUGCCCCGCCUGGGGGAGUACGGCCGCAAGGCUAAAACUCAAAGGAAUUGACGGGGGCCCGCACAAGCGGCGGAGCAUGUGGCUUAAUUCGACGCAACGCGAAGAACCUUACCAAGGCUUGACAUACACCGGGAAACGUCUUGGAGACAGGCGCCCCCUUUGUGGUCGGUGGUACAGGUGGGUGCAUGGCUGUCGUCAGCUCGUGUCGUGAAAAUGUUUGGGGUUAAGUCCCGCAACGAGCGCAACCCUUUGUCCCGUGUUGCCAGCAGGCCCUUUGUGGUGGUUGGGGACUCACGGGAGAACCGCCGGGGUCAAUUCCGGGAGAGAGGUGGGGGACAAAAGUCAAAUUAUUCUUGCCCCCUUUAUGUUUUGGGGGUGGCAACCGGGCUACAAAUGGGCCGGGGACAAUGGAGCUGGGAAACCCCCCGGAGGGGGGAGCGAAAUCUCAAAAAGCCGGGUUCAGUUUUCGGAAAAUGGGGGUUGUGGAAUUCCCACCCCCAUCGAAAAUCGGAAGGCCUUUAGAUAUCCCGAAAACACAAUUAGUUGUGGGUGGAAAAAAUUUCCCGGGGCCUUGGUACACACCGCCCGGUCACUUUCCCAAAAGUCGGGAAAACCCGAAGCCGGGCCACCCA